rnacentral:tRNA from 1 species
GCGCCCGUAGCUCAGCUGGAUAGAGCACUGGUUUCCGGUACCAGGCGUCGGGGGUUCAAGUCCUCUCGGGCGCG